UCUCCACGCUAGUGACAGUAAGCAGAAGACUCGUCUUUUACACAGCACCAGUUGGAAAGAGCUCCUAAGCUAACCUGAGCAUCCUAGCACACCUUGGCUGCUCUGAAAAGUACUACUGGAAUUUUUCUCAGAAUCACAGGAAAUAAACUGGGAAAGUCCAGCUCAGUUUUACUCCCCAGUUUGAGGCAAGACUGGCUGUAUCGAAACUAUUCCUGACAGAUGUCUGGAACGAAGCACUGCAUGAUGUUAUGAUUAAUGUCUGCCAUAUUGCCAGUUUUCCAAAGUUGUUCAGAACUGAAGAAAACGUUAUUCUUUGGAUGGUGUCUUAACUUCCUGGAUCUAAAGAUAUGUCCCACUUGCCUGUUGUGUAGUCUUACUGUCUUUCUUCAGUGAAUCGGGAGUUAGAAACCUGCCAUUAACAUCAAAGCCUAUCUGUCAGAUGAUUGUGCUAACAAUUUUUCCUUUUUGUUCUUCUCUAAAGGCUUAUUCUAGUUGAUCUUUUUAAUUUAGAAGCCAUCAAUAGACCAUGCUUGACAGCAAUAUUCUUGGGUUUUUUCUUUCUAUUAUUGUGUAGAGAUCUAAUGAGUCUAAUUGUCAUUAUACUUUGGAUUCAGGGAAAGUGCAUAUAACCUUGAUAUACAAAAUUCUACCUCAAACUUCUGUUCCUUAAUAGGUGGCAUUACUCACCAGCAUACACAUUAUAGAAAUGAUCGACUGAAUGAUAGUUUUGGUGCUGAAAUAAUGUUGCUUGCAUUCUUAUAUGUGUUACAUGUACACAUUUUUGUUCUUGUUACUUUGCUAUAAUUCUCUUUUCAGUGUAGGUGCCUCUAAAAUCUUGCCGAUACUGCUGCAUCUUUUCCUACCUAACCAAUUCCACCUUCACUAGAGAUUUGUAUGUUCAUUAUGUUGAUAAGCUUCUGGUCUUCCUUGAAACUCAUGAACCUAAUUCAAUCAUUCAAGUUCUCCUACUCGAUCAGUCUAAUAGGAGACAUCUUUUACACCAGAUAAUCUUCCCGACAUUUUUUCUUGGCAGGAAAAAAGAAGACAAAUUAUGUGAAACGUGGGCCAGGACACAGUCUGAGGAUUCUCCCUCUGUCAGACAGAUGGUGUUUUGACAAUACAGCAGUACCCAGCCAAUUUGCUUCUUCCUCCUGGAGUCUUUGUAAACUUGAAUGUUUGCUUCACGUGUUGUUGUUUCAGGAUCAAUACAUAGAAAAAAUUAAAUGCAUGUCCUCAAAAGUACUGCGAAGGAAUGGAGGGCAGCCUAGUAAGCACUCAUGUGUAACACCAUGAACCACACUGGAAGUGUUUUAAUGAAAGUCUGUAUUGUAUAUGGGGCUGGAGGGGGAGAAUAAUUUUUUCUCAGGAAACUAUGAAUCCAGAUCCACAGACAGUGUUAAAUUAUUUUUUUUGACCAAAUAGCGUUAGAAACAAUAAUUUAGGCAACAGUUCAAAUCCCUAUGCAUAAGAUUUAUUUUCUGAAAACUUAGAAAAUCAAAUGACAAGAAUAACCAGCAAAUAAUAAGUUUAAUAACAGAAAUAAUAGCCAAUUAACCAGGAUUUACUCUCAGCUAGAAAACUGGUCUUCCUUAUCAGUUGUAUCAGUUAUGACUCAUGGCAUAAGAGAUACCACCUCUUUACAAAGAAUAUAAUUACUCUGCUUUUUUUUCCAAUUGUAUAAGGUCUGACUGAGAUAAUUUGCAUCAAAACUUCCUCAAGAAAAGUACCUAUAACAAAUAAAAUUUAUUUUAAUUUUGAUUUCUGAGGGAUGUUUUAGUCUAUAAACUUAUGGAAAAUAUCUUUAGGACUUCUCUCUAAUUUUAAACCAUACAAAUGAAAUUUGAUAUUCGAGGGAUGAUUAGUCUUUCUUUAUUAAAAAUGCAUUAAAGUAAGUGCAGUAAAUUUUGGUUUUGAGAGCAAAAUGAUGUAAACAAAAUGUAACAGAACCUGUGGUCAGAUCGUACUCAACCCCUCAUUGCAAAAUAAGAUCAAAGGCAUAAAAUAAGACAGCAGAUCUGAUUGCAAAUUUUUAUGUUGUAGCCAAUAGCACAGAAUAUAACCAAGGAAAAUUCAUAGAAGAAUUAAUGAGAGCUGCUGUAACUGAUGAAGAAUACAAUUUAAAACAUCCAUUGAUGUUAUAGCAUAGAGAAAAUAUGCUCCAUUAUUGGAAAUAGAGGUCACUGAAGUAAUAAUUUCAAACAAGCUAAUCUAUGUCUUCAAAUCUGUGGGAUCUGCCAUGCUUUCACUGAUGCCAAGGUCAAAGAUAAGGGCUAUGCUCAGCAGGCAUACAUCAAAGAUACAAAUUACUGCAGACACUCACUGGAGUGAUUUCUGAAUAACUACUACCGUCACUGUGGGAUAGGUCAAAACAAUUAUCAUUUUGAGCUCCUCAGAUAGCUGUUAUAUUACUGAGUAUGUCUUAUAUAUUUAAGUGCGAGACUCAAAAGCAUGCUUAAGACUUAGAGGAAAAACAAGCAAGGAAUAUGAAUCAGUGAAUUAAUGGUUAAAUCUCUUAGAUGGUAAGGUUGAGUCUUGCAUACAAGUCAAGCUCCCAAAGUCAUUACUCUUUCUUUUUUCUCAUCCAUUGCUAAUGUGAAACGUAUCCCAAGGACAGGAUCAGGGCUCCUUGUUCCCAGCUUCCUCCCUGUUAUCACUGCCACCCACUUUUAACUCUCCAGAACAGGAUCUGCAGUUGGGAGCAAAGAUGUCUGACUCCAGAAACUUCUCGAGGCUUGCUGUAGGCCACUGAGUGCUCUUCCCUUCUUCACCCAGGGACCCCAACAAGAAGGAUGAAAUAUGCACAUCUUCCUAUAAAAAGCCUACAUGUUUCCACUCCAGGAAAGCCAGGUAACAAGGUAUUGUGGAGUGUAAGUGCCUGAAUCCUGAGUCUAAUAGGGAAAUCUGGGUAUAGAAGCUGUCCAUGCACUGCAGGGAGUUGAAAAGCACUGGUUUGUUAUAAGCUCUAAAGGCAACAUCUCAAUUUUACAAGUAAUGUUAAUCAGGAAACUUUUAGGAGAAAGAGCUGAAUUGUUAUUAAAAGUCGCUGAAGCAUAUGUAAUUGAAUUUAGUUUACUCAAUCAAUAAAAAGACGUCUAACUAACUGUAGGGCUUUGACACGAGUCAUUACAAUGGUUACAAGCUGUGGCAAUUUCUUUGUGUCUUCCCAAACUGUAAAGGCAUAGUGAAGACUUUCCUCCACAUCACGGAGAAGAAUCAAUGAAGCAAGAGACCAAGAUCAGUACAGGAUUUCAGCUGAAUUUGGAGUUAGGCUCCAAACCUGAUCCUGUCUUUUCUUUUUUGGCUGCUGCUGGACACUGAAGGCCAGUGGAGUAGUUUCAAGAGAAGCAAAGGAAUAUAGCAUCCAUCUUUUGCUAAAACCUCGUGACAAAAGAGAUGGAAAAGAGUGGCAGGUUUCCCCUUUAGUAUGUCGAUUAUAACUUUCCUGCAUAAAUUCUGAGUAUAUUGAGUCUAAGUAAGUAAGUG